rnacentral:rRNA from 1 species
UACAGAGGUCCCAAGCGUUGUUCGGAUUCACUGGGCGUAAAGGGUGCGUAGGUGGCUUGGUAAGUUUGACGUGAAAUCUCCGGGCUUAACCCGGAAAAUGCGUUGAAUACUAUUUGAGCUGGAGGUUUGGAGGGGGGACUGGAAUUCUUGGUGUAGCAGUGAAAUGCGUAGAUAUCAAGAGGAACACCAGUGGCGAAGGCGAGUCCCUGGACAACACCUGACACUGAGGCACGAAAGCUAGGGGAGCAAACGGG